rnacentral:rRNA from 1 species
GACGAACGCUGGCGGCGUGCUUAACACAUGCAAGUCGAACGGAAAGGCCCUGCUUUUGUGGGGUGCUCGAGUGGCGAACGGGUGAGUAACACGUGAGUAACCUGCCCUUGACUUUGGGAUAACUUCAGGAAACGGGGGCUAAUACCGGAUAGGAGCUCCUGCUGCAUGGUGGGGGGUGGAAAGUUUCGGCGGUUGGGGAUGGACUCGCGGCUUAUCAGCUUGUUGGUGGGGUGGUGGCUUACCAAGGCUUUGACGGGUAGCCGGCCUGAGAGGGUGACCGGCCACAUUGGGACUGAGAUACGGCCCAGACUCCUACGGGAGGCAGCAGUGGGGAAUAUUGCACAAUGGGCGGAAGCCUGAUGCAGCAACGCCGCGUGCGGGAUGACGGCCUUCGGGUUGUAAACCGCUUUCGCCUGUGACGAAGCGUGAGUGACGGUAAUGGGUAAAGAAGCACCGGCUAACUACGUG